AUUGAACGCUGGCGGCAGGCCUAACACAUGCAAGUCGGGCGGAGGGGCGGACGGGUGAGUAAUGGAUGGGGAUCUGCCUGAUGGAGGGGGAUAACGUCAGGAAACGGGCGCUAAUACCGCAUACUAUCAGAUGAGCCCAGGUCGGAUUAGCUAGUUGGUGGGGUAAAGGCCUACCACGGCGACGAUCCGUAACUGGUCUGAGAGGAUGAUCAGGCACACUGGAACUGAGACACGGUCCAGACUCCUACGGGAGGCAGCAGUGGGGAAUAUUGGACAAUGGGCGAAAGCCUGAUCCAGCCAUGCCGCGUGUGUGAAGAAGGUCUUCGGAUUGUAAAGCACUUUAAGUUGGGAGGCGUUACCAACAGAAUAAGCACCGGCUAACUUCGUGCCAGCAGCCGCGGUAAUUC
rnacentral:rRNA from 1 species